rnacentral:rRNA from 1 species
UUAGGGAUCUUGCGCAAUGGCCGAAAGGCUGACGCAGCGACGCCGCGUGGGGGAGGACGGCCCUCGGGUCGUAAACCUCUUUUCUCAAGGACGAGGACGGACGGUACUUGAGGAAGAAGCACCGGCUAACCCCGUGCCAGCAGCCGCGGUAAUACGGGGGGUGCGAGCGUUGUCCGGAUUCACUGGGCGUAAAGGGCGCGCAGGCGGCCGCCUCAGUCCGGCCUUUAAGAGCGGGGCUCACCCCCGUGUUGGGCCGGGGACGGGGUGGCUGGGGCGCGGUCGAGGGGUGCGGAAUGCCGGGUGUAGUGGUGAAAUGCGUAGAGAUCCGGCGGAACACCGGUGGCGGAGGCGGCACCCUGGGCCGAGGCCGACGCUGAGGCGCGAGAGCGUGGGGAGCGAACCGGAUUAGAUACCCGUGUAGUCC